rnacentral:rRNA from 1 species
UCAGAUUGAACGCUGGCGGCAGGCUUAACACAUGCAAGUCGAGCGGUAGCACAGGGGAGCUUGCUCCCUGGGUGACGAGCGGCGGACGGGUGAGUAAUGUCUGGGAAACUGCCUGAUGGAGGGGGAUAACUACUGGAAACGGUAGCUAAUACCGCAUAACGUCGCAAGACCAAAGAGGGGGACCUUCGGGCCUCUUGCCAUCAGAUGUGCCCAGAUGGGAUUAGCUAGUAGGUGGGGUAAUGGCUCACCUAGGCGACGAUCCCUAGCUGGUCUGAGAGGAUGACCAGCCACACUGGAACUGAGACACGGUCCAGACUCCUACGGGAGGCAGCAGUGGGGAAUAUUGCACAAUGGGCGCAAGCCUGAUGCAGCCAUGCCGCGUGUGUGAAGAAGGCCUUCGGGUUGUAAAGCACUUUCAGCGAGGAGGAAGGUGGUGAGCUUAAUACGCUCAUCAAUGACGUUACUCGCAGAAGAAGC